GGAGUAAAUGUCUCAGGGUGGAGUAAAUAUGUCAGGAGGGAGUAAAUGUCUCAGGAGGGAGUAAAUAUCUCAGGGUGGAGUAAAUAUCUCUGUGUGGAGUAAAUGUCUCAGGAGGGUGGAGUAAAUGUCUCAGGGUGGAGUAAAUAUGUCAGGAGGGAGUAAAUGUCUCAGGAGGGAGUAAAUAUCUCAGGGUGGAGUAAAUAUCUCUGUGUGGAGUAAAUGUCUCAGGAGGGUGGAGUAAAUGUCUCAGGGUGGAGUAAAUAUGUCAGGAGGGAGUAAAUGUCUCAGGAGGGAGUAAAUAUCUCAGGGUGGAGUAAAUAUCUCUGUGUGGAGUAAAUGUCUCAGGAGGGUGGAGUAAAUGUCUCAGGGUGGAGUAAAUGUCUCAGGGUGGAGUAAAUGUCUCAGGAGCGUGGAGUAAAUGUCUCAGGGUGGAGUAAAUAUCUCUGGUUGGAGUAAAUGUCUCAGGGUGGAGUAAAUGUCUCAGGAGGGUGGAGUCAUGUCCACAUUCUAUAUAUCUAUUCUGAAGACGUUAGCGUGGUCUCCCUCCGCGAUCCGCUGGCGAGCAGAACCUUCUCGGCAGGAGGUGGAGCAGGUGGAGCGAUGAGCUUCUCCUUCCCGAACAGCGACUCCACCACCUCCCUGCUGAGAUGUUCGGCGGCGGCGAGCCGGCGGUCCGCGUUCGGCCCGGGUCCCGGGGAAAGCGACGCCAGCUCCCGCAGACCGCUGUGCCGCCCGGCGCCGGAGGACGGAGGUACGAGCCGGAGGCGGGAGGAGGAGAACCGCGGGGAGAGGCAGCGGCGACACCCGCACCACCGCCACCACCACCAUCAUCGCCACCAUCACCACCACCAUCACCACCAGGACCAGCCCGACCACAGACGCUCUCUACCCGCCCCGGUUCUCUCGCUGGACCCCCGGCGCCCGAGUUCCUCCACCGGCGGCGAGGUGUCGUCGUCCCCGCUGCCCGCGUCCUCGGAAUCGGACUUCAACCCGCGGCCCAUCCUGAAGUCCGUGUUCGGACAGGUGGGUGUCUUACCCACUAGGCUACCAGCACCCGUCACCACCUGCUGCCGAACACACAGC
ensembl:lncRNA